GAAAGAUUCAUGUCGCGUCUCUCUCUUCAUGAACUGAAAGAAUUUGCAGUCUUGCAAUCAUAGAUCAUUAAUAUACACUACAUCAUGUGCCUACAGAGUGCCGUCCAAGGAAAGGAGAAACUCCGGUGAUAGACAGGGCUGCCCUAUUUACAGCCAGAAUCACACAGCAAGACGAUAUGGUGAUUGUCUAUGACAUUUUACAACUGAUUAAAGUGAGAUACGUUUUAAUAGGAAGCAUCGGUGCUGACGUGUGUGUGUGUGCGUGUGUACGUGCACGUGUUUGCGUGUGUGUUUGUGUCUGUGUCUGUGUGUGUCUGUGUCUGUGUGUGUGUGUGUCUGUGUGUCUGUGUGCAUGUUGCUAUCUUUGUUAGAGCCACAUGUAAAACUAAUAUAUAUAUCUUUUUAAUUUGCCCCACUCUAUUCCUCUAGAAACCAAAGCAUGUCAAGCAUUGUUAAGCUUGUAUUUCAUAUUUUAUUAUUAGUCUAAACAUAAUAUAACGCAAUUAUUUUUUAUGUGAGAUGUUUUUGAACACUUCGAAGUAACUCGAAGGUAGCGUGGGUGGAUUCAAGCCUUUUUUUUUUCCUUUUUAAGUACUUGCAUCGCUUUGUAAUAGUUUUCUUGUCAGUUAUAACAUUCAAAUUGACAAAUUUCCGAAAUGGUAUACCGCUCUCUCUUUUUAAAAAAAAACGUGUAAACCGCCUCUUCUAACAGUGAAGUGAUUGUUGGAGGUGAACUGAAAAUCACAGCCAUAAACAAGGUCAACCCGAACAGUUAACGUAAUUACAUCCCACAAAAUUGAUGCCCCAGAGCCGGAGUGAGAGACGCGGGAUUCCCUGUCAGAGAUCAAUGGCAGGCCAUAGAAACCCCAGAUAGACGCAGAAGGCAGGCUGACGAAUAAGAGAGACAUCAGCACUGUUUUUCUGAGGACAAUGGAUCCAAAAAAAGAAAAGAAAAGAGAAAAAGAAGGGCUGGAUUCACGGGUAAGUCGUCGUUAAGAAACAGGCCCGGCCUUAAAAAUACGAUCGGACAGAGCCAAAAAAAAAGUUUAGAAGUAAGUUCACGUUAUGCUAAGAUUCAUGAGCUAGAUUAAAUCGAAACCUCCUGACUUUCGGAGGAGGGCACAUGCGGUGUCCUGUUAUUCAGCGUUGCGAGAGAAAUAAUAGAAUCAAAAUGUUUCAGUGUGAACAAUUAUCAUGUGUUUCAUAAAGUGUAGCCUCCGCGGUGAAACCCGCAGCGGCGGCGGCGAGCCAUCAGAGAUGAUUUUUCCCCCCAUUCUAAUGCGGGUUUGAUAACCCGACGAAAAAAAAAAACACACAUAAUAUUAUGUUCAUUUGUUUGAUUGGCUUUUGUUUGGAUUUUUUUUCCUCUUCAUUUGUUUGUUUAAAUAAUGAAUAUACCAAAGUGGAUAUUCUUUUGUUCUUUUCUCCCAGAUUGUCAAGUUCUGCCGUGCGAGUCAGCCACGUCUUCUUCUGUGAGUUUAAUGAGUUGGAUUGCGUUGUUCUGUAAAUAGUCCCGCUCCGCAGGGCGUUGAGUCGGCCCGCGGACGCAUCCUGGCAUCUCUAAGAAGUGUGUUGGUGCCCUGUGGGGACGUGGAGAUGAGCACGCAGGCACACGCAUGCACACGGGCGGACGCACACACAUGAGCGCAAACGAGCGCACACACGCACACACACAUUCGCAUAUGCACAGGCACACGCCUGCUCGCACGCACACACACACACACGCACACUCACAUACUUAAACACAGACAUCCAAAAUAAACACACACAUGCCCAUACACAAAUCCCUUAAAUCACACACACACACACACACACACACACACACACACACACACACACACACACACACACACACACACACACACACACACACACACACACAACAACGAUAGCCACACACACACACACAUACACACAUCAAAUCAAGCCCCCCCAGCACACACACACCAUUACAACCACAUCGAUCCACAAACACACACCCAAACAAACCAAUCCCACCCACAUCCACACCCACACCCACACAUGCUCAGACACCAUCCCAAUCAAAUAGGUCUCCAAACACACAAACACACACACACACACAAAGCGAUCCCUAGCCCCCACACACACACACACACACACACACACACACACACACACACACACACACACACACACACACACACACACACACACACACACACACACACACACACACACACACACACACCAGCGCCCCUUGCUCACAACAGCUGCUCUGCUGCGGAGUCGGCCAGACCCCUCGCUGAUCAAAUCUUGUCCGUCACAUUUCCUCUAAUUAACGGGCAUCUGCUC
ensembl:lncRNA